GACGAACGCUGGCGGCGUGCUUAACACAUGCAAGUCGAACGGAAAGGCCCUGCUUGCAGGGUACUCGAGUGGCGAACGGGUGAGUAACACGUGGGUGAUCUGCCCUGCACUUCGGGAUAAGCCUGGGAAACUGGGUCUAAUACCGGAUAGGAGCCAUCUUUAGUGUGAUGGUUGGAAAGUUUUUUCGGUGUAGGAUGAGCUCGCGGCCUAUCAGCUUGUUGGUGGGGUAAUGGCCUACCAAGGCGGCGACGGGUAGCCGGCCUGGGAGGGUGGACGGCCACAUUGGGACUGGAGUACGGCCCCGGCUCCCACGGGGGGGAGGAGGGGGGAAAAUUGGCCCAUGGGGGCAAGCCUGAUGCAGCGACGCCGCGGGGGGGAUGACGGGCUUCGGGUUGUAAACCCGUUUCGCUAGGGACGAAGCUUUUUGUGACGGUACCUAGAUAAGAAGCACCGGCUAACUACGUG
rnacentral:rRNA from 1 species